CCCCGUGGACUGUAGCCUACGAGGUUCCUCCAUCCAUGGAAUUUCCCAGGCAAGAAUAUCAGAGUGGGUUGCCAUUUCCUUCUCAAACACACAUAUAUAAGCUGUCCUAAGAAGUUCCUUUAACUGGAUGCAGUCUGUUUAACCUGGAUCUUCAGAAUCUGUGUUUUUUUUUUUGCUUUGCCGCCUUUAACAUCACUGAGAUAUUCAUUCCCUGGCUGCCCAAGGCCCAUCUCUAACUUGCCAAGAAGACAGCCCUAACUGGCUCCUUUGAGCAUCACUAGCCUCCCACCUUCCCACUCAGCCCUGGAUGUAGGGAGUGGACGAGCGAGGCCUCUGGCUGACUGGCUGCUGCCCUCCAGGCUCGGGCCCUGUAGGGAGGGGCCAGGCCUCUUUGAAGGGGGUUAAAGUUCUUCGUUGUGUGAAUGGCCUUUGAAGGAGCAGAGGGAGGGCCAGCCGUGACCUCACAGUCUUCUGUCAGGAGACUCAGAAGGAAUUUGUCCAGCUUGAGCCAGGGCGCAGGAAACCGCCUGGAAAAAGAGGCAGUUCUGAGCGGGAACGUGUGAAGCGGGCACUGUGGGCAGGAGAGAGCCCAAGCUGUAAAUGUGUUCAUCAAACCACACCUUGACAUCUUGUAGAUGUGCAGCCUGACAUCUGAGCCACUGACUUUUCAGCAGGGUGAAGGGGAUGCUAUUAAUAGGGCAGGCUGCAGUGGUGGGAGACUCCCUUUACAUUACAAAGGGACCGCUUCUUUAUCAGGAUUGUCCUCGAGUCAAGACACAGCCCGGCCUUGUUUCCAGUGGAAGGGGCUUCCAGAAGUGUUUUCAUGCCGUCUUCUGCAAGCCUGGACCUGAGACCUGAGCCAGAGAGAAUAGCAGGAGGGUGACUGCUAAGUUGACCAAGACCAGAGAAGCUCUCAGAAAGAAAAGCUGAGCCUGUAGGAACAGAAAGUUCUUUUUCGGACUGUCAGAGUCACAUUUAGCCAUAAUGGCUUCAUGGCAGGAGGCUAUAAGCUCUCUGCUGCAGCAUGAGGCGCACUCCAGAGCCCUAGGGUCCUCCCAGGACCCCGGCACAGGGCUUGUCACUCUACAGGUUCUCAGGACGUGCCGUAGAGAUCCACCGUUACCUCUUCAGCCUCUGUGCUCCCCUUCCAUUCUCCUUGGGUUCCCUCGGGCUUCAAUCUGUCUCCCCCAGACCUCCCGACUGGGGCUCCACCCCAUGCCUCCAAGGCUGAUGAACCUCAGCAGCCCCAGGCGGACAUCUUACCAGUGUCUGGGCAUCCUCCCCCUGCCAGGUCGCACCCUCUCCUCCCAUUUGCCGUCCUGAUGGAAACUUUGGCCAGAAAAUAAAGAGCCCUGAAUAAACCAUUAAAGACAGCCACUCAUGGCCUAUGGAACACAGCAGUUGUGCCCUGUGUCUUAAAAACUCAACUUAGGAAAGAGAGGCAGGACAAGAAAAGCAAACAGAGGCCCUCUGGUUUCACAGCCAUGAGGAAGUUUUUAUUUGUACCGUGCCCCUCUUCCUAGGCCAAGAACGAGUUCAUACUUUUGGUGUAACUUUAAAAUAACUAGAUUAAAGGAUCAGGUCACUUAUUACCUGGGGAAACGUGUUUCUAAUUUAAAUAUCGUGGCUUUAGUAGGAAGUAAUCUGGGUUAUUCAGAGCAGAGAAACCUGCUUGUGCAGCAGGCGCCUGGUGUUUGAAUGAAUUUGGGUCACAGUGCAUUUAGGCUAGGACCCUGGGAAGCUGGUGACAGACAUCGUUAACAGUAGGGUGUUGUGUUAGUCGCUCAAGAGU